CUCGCAGAGUCUGUCGGCGCCCAUCUCUACUACGAAUCCCUUAAAGUUAAAAGGAGAGAUAAGGCGCUUUGGCUGUCGGGCUGCACGCGCGAGGCUCGCCACAGCGCACGCGAGUUUGGCAGAUGACGGACGAGAAUGCUGCUCCGCAGACCCCGACACCAAAGCCUUCACUUCUAAUCUCAUUCAGCUCGGCAGACGUGCGACUGUCAGAAACAGGGAGUCACAAAGGCCGUUGCUGGUACCACAGAGAAACUUCACUACUUGCUGUCAGUGGGUUUCAGCGAGUUAACUGCUACCUGUGCAAAAGGUGUCAAUCUGUGCUGCUUCCAGCCUUGGAUUAGAAGCAGAGACGAUACCAGGGAAGUCGACUGUUACUGCGGCCUUUAACUACUGAAUAUUACAGCAUGGCGGCCGCUUAGCUACUUGAGCGAACAACGGCUCCAUGGCUGAUUUCGAGGAUUAUCAAGAUGCGGCUGUCUACGAUGAUAGCGACAAUAGCACGUUCUGGCAAUAUUUCUGGGAGGACCACAACUGGACAUUACUACCCGACUUACCGCAACAACCGCAACUUCUACUCCAUCGACUACGACAGUCCUGCCAAUGGUGCUGAUCUUGUUGCGUACAGUUUGCGAUGGACGCUCUUCUGGAUCCUCGGCAGCUUACUGGCUCUGACUUUCAGAUGUCUUGCGAAGUGAAGACAGGAGCGCGAGAGACGCUAACAACCUUUGACAUUACCCGCGAGGUAAUGACCACUGUACAGAAAGGUGAUGCCGAUGACGACGCACCGGUCAGAAACAAAAUGACAGAAUGUCGUUUUUUUCUUUCUGCCUUUAGUUCACUGCGGUGUAGCGCUGGGUAGAACAACUGGGCAAAUAUAGAGACAGGCUGACUGUAGGCAUAAAGAGGGCAAGGGGUUAGACAUAGUGAGCAACUGGGUAGGUAUAAAGACAGGGCGGUUGGGUAUGUAGGUAUAGCAGAAAGCAAUUGGGCAAAUGAAAACAGGGCGACUGGGUGGACAGACAUAACAUAACGAAUCGGUGGCUGGGCAGACAGACUUAAAGGCAGAUGAAUUAGCUGAUCGACAGACAGUGCGACUGGGUAGACAGACAUAAAGACAGGGCGACUGAGUAAACAUACCGACAGGCUGACUGGGUAGAUAGGAGCAAGGACUGACGUGCGCGCGGUUCCCUUGAUGUCAUCAGGUGCCUCUCAGGCAAUAAACUGCACGAGCGAGUUUAGCCUGAGGGAUGCGCGGAGAGGGGGAGAUACGGGCUGCUCUGGAAUCCUAGCGAGCUUGGCGGCAUGAUGCUCGGCGAGCAGACUGUGCGAGGCGCAAACAGUAUAGCCAGCUACGACCUGCGGAAUGGAUCACUCACAGACUUGCGGUGUGGAGCUUUCUCUAACGGGACCGUGCACCACUGAGCAUGAAGAUAAGAGUGUACUCUUAGAACGAAGCCCGUCACCUUUCGGAAAGAAAAUCGCCGUUAAUCGGCGACCUCAUCUGCCUUCGUGAGCUUCGUUCAUUUCAGGCCAUCAUCUGGGUUUUUUUUUUUCUGUUUGUGCACGCCUCUACUGGCGUUGAAAAAAGCGCGUGUGAAGAACCACAGACUUUUUUUGUCUUUCGCGAGAAGUUCGUCGAAUAGUGAUCAACUUGAGCAUGCACACCACUUAUUAGACCGGUAAAGGCGACAAACUUGGUUCUAGCUUAUUAACGUCGGCCAUGGGUCUUAUUUGUUGUUUUAUUCUCUAAAGGCGCGUGGAGAAACUGAUACCACGUGCAGAACAGAGGCAGGCGCUUGCUGAUCAUCGAGGCCUCUCCGCCGAUGAUGCGCCGAGCAGGCGUUACAAGGCUAUCGGUUGCAGACCUAAUGCGAACGCCAGCCCGGUGCCUAGCUAAACAAUAAACCAUGACCUGUUGCUGUCUCGCACAGGAAACACUC